rnacentral:rRNA from 1 species
UACGUAGGGUGCAAGCGUUGUCCGGAAUUAUUGGGCGUAAAGAGCUCGUAGGCGGUUUGUUGCGUCGGCUGUGAAAUCCCGAGGCUCAACCUCGGGUCUGCAGUCGAUACGAGCAAACUAGAGUGUUGCAGGGGAGACUGGAAUUCCUGGUGUAGCGGUGAAAUGCGUAGAUAUCGAGAGGAACACCAGUGGCGAAGGCGAGUCCCUGGACAACUACUGACACUGAGGCACGAAAGCUAGGGGAGCAAACAGG